rnacentral:rRNA from 1 species
GAGUUUGAUCCUGGCUCAGAACGAACGCUGGCGGCAUGCCUAACACAUGCAAGUCGAACGAAGGCUUCGGCCUUAGUGGCGCACGGGUGCGUAACGCGUGGGAAUCUGCCCCUCGGUUGGGAAUAACACAGAGAAAUUUGUGCUAAUACCUUAUAAUGUCUUCGGACCAAAGAUUUAUCGCCGAGGGAUGAGCCCGCGUAGGAUUAGCUGGUUGGUGGGGUAAAGGCCUACCAAGGCGACGAUCUGUAGCUGGUCUGAGAGGACGACCAGCCACACUGGGACUGAGACACGGCCCAGACUCCUACGGGAGGCAGCAGUGGGGAAUUUUGGACAAUGGGGGCAACCCUGAUCCAGCAAUGCCGCGUGUGUGAAGAAGGCCUUCGGUUGUAAG